rnacentral:sRNA from 1 species
ACUCCCUGUGAUGGCCCUGAAACUUCCAGAAUGUAGAGAUGCAGAGCUGUAGGCUGUUGUCAAAGCUGUGAAUUUCAGUUUCCCCAUCAUCCGAGGCUUUGAUGGGCUGAGGAACCGGAGCCUCACAUUUGACAAAGCGUUUUAAAGCACCAUUUAUAUAUUGCGCUCUCUGCCCUUGGGGAACCCUGGCUCUGGAAGUCAAGAAGAGAGAAUGUGGAGGCGAAUUGUACAAAACGUUUGAGAGGAAAGCCACCUUCAGGAAAGUCAUAGCAGCAAGAACAGGAAGCAACUGGUCAUAUUGUGUCCAGUCUGGAAGCAGAGAGAGGGUCGAGAUCCGGGGGACAGUCUUCAGCCACUGAGCAGAUGAAGCUGGCACCUCUCCAGAGCAUUGCCCGUGGUCUCUGCAGAUAUACUAUGCAGUGGGCAUCAUGGGCUUCUAGGGCUGCAUCUGGUAAUCUUGAGCAAGUAAUAUAACUGAGUGCUGGUUAUCUGGGGCAGCCUUGGGUGUGGUGGGGAUCCUGACUAAGCUAUUUUUACAUGUCUAAAAGGCUCAUUACCUGGCCCUCUAACCCUAGAGUCCCAGAGUAAAGUUUCAGCUUUACAAUUUGAGUGGGUGGUCUGAUCUCACUGGAACUCCAGAAACUGUUAGUUCUGCCAGGUGAGAACAAGACCACUACUGCAAUUUCUAAGCCAAAUCUGAAACAAGGCUUAUUAAAUAUCAGCCAGGACGAUGGCCACUGGUCAGGUCUAGACCGAGGAUACCCAGAGUAUGUCCUGAACUACUUUAGUCAUAGGCUAAAGGCAAAACAAGACUAUUGACUUCCUGUCUCUGUCCAAUCAGGGUCAGCCAUGCAUCCUAACAUACUUCCUGCCUAUGGGUAAUCAAACGCAUCACGGGCAGUUGGGGCAGGCGAGCUUGUUUGUACUAGUGAAACAUAUGGCUUCACACCAACAGUAACCCCCAGCAUUGCCACAGUUCUCUGUCCUUGGGCAAGUGGGGCUUUCAGGUUGGAGGCAUUUGUGUUUUAUUGAUCUCUUAAGUACAAUAAUUCAAACCUAGAAAUAACUUUAGCCACCACAGGUUAUCUUCUGUCUUCCCAUGGGGCAAGGUGUCAGUCCCAUGCUUGCCUCAUCUUGGAUUUUUCCCUUUAAUUCCACUUGCAGCACCUGUAGCAAAGUAUGUUCUGCUUUGUUUUCAAAUUCCUUGUUAAUAUAAACAUUUGUUUAAAUAGCCCUGUCUCUUGGGUGGAUGGAUUCUCUAGGGUAGGAGAUCUCUAAAGCCCUUGCCCAGAGCCCACAUUCAAGGAUCCUUUGUUAGGAUUCUAGGACAACUCUGAAGAUACCUCAGAGUAAACAGGGAGAUUACCCAGUACAGAGAAGGUGGGAAGGUGUUCAUCUUUUAUCUUGCAAGUGAAGACAGAAGUAACUCCCAGGAUGAAUAGGUAAGAGACUUCCCAUAAAGUUACUUUUUUUUUUUUCCAAACUAAGGACAUAACCAUGACUUCACUGCUGAAUUGCCACCGUUGUAGACAGGUGGACCAGUUUGGAGCAUAAGGAAGAAAUGUUGGAGAAAGUGAACUUCAGUAAAAGAAGCUAGAGUCAGUCACCUCAGUCAGUGGCAGACCGGUGAGCCUCCUUUUGUGAAUUUACAGAGAUGGUGUUUGUUCUUAUUACAAAAAGACAGCCUAAGAUCAUCUUCUGAGAAUCAAAAGAUUUUAUUGCUUUCUAGUGAUGAAGACUUUGGUAUGCAGCCCCGGAUUUGGCCACAGCUCUGAUUUUUCCCUACAGCAAGUCAAGGACCUUUCAUUUAAGAGAGGAAGAGGGAUGUACACAAGUCUCUUUGACAAAUGGGAGUGCAGAAUAUUAAAUAGUUGUUGGAUGUGAAGACAAAGAAGAAGAGAGCUGAUUGGCCCACAGCUGUGGUAAAUGUAGCCAGAAUGGAUUUUGAACAUAUCUGAACAGCAGGGACCAGUCAGCCAGAAGAGGAUCCCUUCUGGUGGGUGUCAAAACCCACAAGACCUUUGUCUUUCAGGAAGGUGAGGAAGAAGCCAGAGGUUUGUCUCCUUUGUUAUCUGUGGUUCUUUUUCCUGUCAUCUGCUGGCCAGGGGUCUCCUCAGUAGUUAGUGUCUAAGGACUUCUGAAAUCCAAAUGACAGAGAAGCAGGCAGAAGUUGUAAGCCAGAGCUCUGCUCAGCAGAUGUAGCAUGACAUCUCUAGGUCAGGUUGGAGAGGAGAUCCUCAGCCUGACUAGCACAAGAAGAAAAGAUUUCACACUGACUGAGCCUCUUUCUUUUUUAAUAUUUAGAAACAAAAUGAUCACCUUUGCUGCCAGGCAGUGCAAAGACUAGUCCAGCCCACCUUUCUUGAAAACCCAUGAUCUGCUUUUCAGGGGGAGAUGAAAGUGCAGGCAUAGACAAUGGAUCUGAAAGCUGCUGGCUUUUGAAUAUUCAUGACUAUUCUAAUGCAAAUGAAUGUUUCCAAUUGAGCUGAGUUUGGCCAGGUGCUGUUGGAAGUGCUUUAAGUUUAUAAUGUUGCUUCUCUGUUCUUUAGAUCUCCUAGAACAACUUCUCUGAGAAGGUUUCCCAGGUGUCCCACCUUGGACUGUAGUUCCUGCCCCUAAAGUUCAAGGGCUCUGGAUCCCCCCAAUCCACAGGACAGCCUGCCCUUGUUUAAUUGGGGCCCAGGUCUGAGAGGCCCUCCUUUGGCCCAGAGCCAGAGAGCCUUAUCACUCACCAGAUUGUGCUUCAACCAAAGCUCACUGCUCCCAGAAUAACAGAGGGGAUGGUGGGGGGUCUGCCAAGGUUAGGAGCACUUGUUUCAGCCCUCUUUGACUCUUGCAACUGUAAAUGGCCUUGGCCUGUAGCCUGAUGCUUUGCUAGGUCCACAGACUAUGCAAGACACACAACCCUGUGAGCUGAUGGUGGUUGCCUUUGGAGGAACACAGUGAGUCUUCAGUCUCUGUGGGUGCUAAGGGAGGAUUUCCCUGUUCAACAGGAUUUGUUGUGAGGGUUUCUGAUCAAAUUCUAGGAGGGGGGAGGGGGAAGGGAAGGGAGACAAGGAAAGUCACUGUUCAGCCAAGGACCUGUUUGGAGGAGUACAGACGCUGGUCCUGACCCAGGUCAGUGAAGGAAGUUUCCACAACUUCCACCAUCUCCCAGGAGCUGGGUGGUCCUCAGGAUCCAUUGGAGUGAAAGAUGCCACUUCUAGGUUUAAAUUGGUCCAGGAUCCUUAUACCACCUAAGGACUCUUGCUGAAGUAUCUCAGGCAUGGCCUAUGAUUCCAUUCCUUGAUUAGUUCUUGAAAUCUAUUCUUACCUCCUAGGCUUUCCAGCAGAACUUUUCACCCUCAAAUACUCUAUGGAAAAGACACUCCUCUCUAUGCCCGAUACAUACUUAUUCAAUGAGAAUCUACCUAUGUUUUAAACAGGUGACUCUAAGAGGUACAGUAGUCUCUGGUCAAUGCGUCUUGGUCUGUCUAUUCAGACUACCCUCCACCCAUAGUCCCCCUCUGCACCGUCAUCACUAGGGCUGCCAUAGCCUUCUCUGGGGUAACCUCACCUCCAAUGCCCUCUCCUCUGGGUUCCAAAGCUGCCAAAGCUAUGUUCACCUGAAUUCAGCCUCCCCAGUUUUCUUCCACGACUACCUGCUGUUUAAUUUAUCCUGGCAUUGUUAACACCUGACUUUCCCUGUGAUGAGUUUUUAGCUGUGGACUAGUUUAUUCUUAAGAAACACAUUGAUUUUCGAGGGCUGGAGCUUCAUUGCAGUUACUUAAGUCCUUCUUCCAUGUUUCCUUUCCAGGACUUCAUAGUUGUGGCCGAGGCCUGAUGUCAGUCAGACAGGCUUUGAUGAGGAUGGUACCCUGGUUCUGGCAGCUACUCAAGGACUUGGGAGAAACCUGUUUGUACCCCAAGCUUCUGGUCAAAUUGAGUGGCCCUCACCUUGAAAUAGACCCUGAAUAUGGCAUAGAUGCCAGGAACCCAGCUCUGUAAACGUUUAUAUGCAGACAAAGUCUCUCCAUGUGCUUUUAAACCAAGGAAGUUUCUACUCAGAAACUUAGAAGGCUGUCAUGAGAGAUUGCCAAGCAAGGACAAUACACAAAGGGAAGCAAGCAGAUUUUACUGAGAAGAAACAUCUCCCUGUAGCCAGAGGGGAGACGUGAAGGAGUCAGAAUCAGCUCUGCUGAGCCUGGUCACUGCUGAACACAGAUUCAUAGAGAAGCUUGGCGUGAUGGCACUGUGAGGAAAUGUCCCUUUCAAAGGCUGGAUAUGGGAAACCAAUUCCUUGACACAGCUUAUUUUGGGGCAGUCAGGUCCAAAGCUGAAACCUGUUUUCCAGCAGGCGUUGCUUGCACAGUUGUGUUUUAUAAAACUGAAUGUGCUCCAUCAAAGAGGUUGGAUAAAACCCAAUCUUUUGUACCCAGGACUACCUUUCCAAAGUACACGCAGAAUCAGAGGAAAAUGUAAUUCCCCAUGGAGAAGGCUGCUCUUACCGGCGUUGGGGCAUUGGUGAUGUGCACCCCAGCAAUGUGAGGAGGAUGGUUCUCGUCUUUAGACUUCUUCACCCCUAAGCGGGUCUGUCCAACUGUGAGAAAAACUGUAUCAUCGUGGACUGAAGAACCAGUACAUGACAAGUGCUUCCCAAAACUUCCAUUGUCAAACCAAGAAAAGUUAGAGGAACUGUCACAGCCUGGAAAAGCCUAAGAUAGCAUGACUACUAAGUGCUAAUAUGGUGUCCCAAAUGAAGUCACGAUAAAAGAGGUUAAAACAAAGGAAUUAAACUAAGUUUGUGGUUUAGUA